CCCAAUUUCCCCUCUAAAACCCCAAUCCCGAUAACGGACAAAAAGAACAGCUCCACCCAAAUUCCAAGAUGCUUGCGAUGUUGCGAUCGCAAGAAGCCAGUGGAGAACGUUAGGGUUUGGUUAAAGGGGGAAAAGGGACAGUGCUAAUUCAUUAUGCGAGAACUUGGAGCUACAUAUCUCUUGAAGAUAAACUUGGAGAUCCUGGGUGACGCACGAUCAGCAUGUCCCAGAGAUGGAGCCUAUAAAUACAAUUUGUUUUGCUGUCCCAGCUAUUUCACAGCUCACAGAAGGCUGAAAUCCAAAGAUGUUGUUCUCAUACACUGAAGACACUGGGUCAGGUGUCUUGAACUACUCAUGAAAAUGCAUGUGCAAAUGCUGCGGGGGAUUGUGGUCCCACCCACUUGAGAAACGAACCUUCAUGAGGCAAGAACACGUGACGUCUUUUUGGUGUUAUUUUGAGACGACGUCGGCCAAUAAAUUUCUUCGAAAUUUCACAUACGAUCAAGGAGGCGAGGACUACAACUGUAUCGGAUUCGGUACUGGAGCCUAAACAAAAUUUUCUAUACGGUAAGUUGUUCGAAUUGAAAACAACGUUAUCUUUGGGGCAAGUUCUGGUCUGAGUUAUCAACUUACCACGAAUGAUGCUCCUAUUUUUGGCGGCGAGGAACUCUUUUUUUCUUUUUUUUUUUAAAUCCAGCAACAAUGAAAACUUUGUUAGGGGACUUCUGCACCCAAGGGAGAGCCGGAGUUGGAGCACUCGCACCAUUAGAAAGGCUCAAUCUUUUCAAGAAAAUCCCUAGGAAUUGGAGCACACCUCAUAUAUCCAUAUGCCAAUAUGAAAAAAAAAACCCGACAAGAGUAUUUGAACUUUGGACCAUUGAUCAUGUACGUAUGAUGUUAUUGGACAGUAAAUAUAUACGGUUGGAAGUUGGAACCCUACUGAUUUUAUUUGA